AUGGUCCUUCUAAUCAUGUUAUGCAUUGGUCAAAAAUUGCAAAAGAACAUCAACGUACUGCUUAGCCAUUCAAGUUCCUACCUUCACAGCAUCCACAUUCUUCUGUUUCAUGUCUGCCACACAAUGAAGGUAUGUGAACUUGGCUACAGAUGUCACAAAGGCAUCUCUUUGCGUCUGCAUGCACAUUACGGAGGUGACAUGCACUGCGUAUCUGAAUCCCUGCAAACACUGCGACGUUGCAGCCUUAUCAUCACAUUGGUCAAGCGUCAUGCUGAAUGCAGCCAUCAUAGGGGCCCAACAAACCUCCAUCAUGAAUCGCAAAAUGGUUGUAUCGGUAAUAACAUAAAAUACAGAUCUGCAUGUAGCACAAGGUUGAAUUAA
rnacentral:rRNA from 1 species